rnacentral:lncRNA from 1 species
GCCCUCCCCCCACCAUGGCGCGGAGCGAGGCAGCGGCGGCGGGGCCGGGCCCGGGGCCCCCCCGGGCUGGGUGAGCGCGGCCUGCAGCGGCCCGGGAGCGGCGGGCGGGGGCGCGGGUGUGUGCGCGGGUGUGAGCGUGCGAGCGUGCGAGUGUGUGUCCGUGGCGCUGCGGCGGGCCCGGCGUGCGCCCGCGCGGCCCUAUGUGUGCCCGGUGCCGGCGUGUGCGGCGCCCUGCCCGUGUGGCCAUCGGGUGUGCGCGGGGUGUCGAGCCCGGCCGGCGUGUCCGGCUGUGCACGCGUGUCCCCCCGAGCGGCCGCCCCUCCGGCUGUGUGUCUGGGCGCUGUCGCGCGCCCAUCGGAGGGGCUGUGUGCAGGUGUGUGUGUGCGUGGGUUGUGUGCCCAGGUGUGGGUCCCCCCCAAGCCCAUGUGCGUGCGCGACUAGCUGCUCUGGGUGUUUGUGUCCGGGUUGGAUGUCCAUCCCCGGGUCUGUGGAGCCGGGUGUGCCCGCUCGGGUGUCCAUUUGUGUGUGUGUGUGUGUGUGUGUGUGUGUGUGUGUGUCUGCGGGUUGUAUGUCUCCGAGGGUGUGUAUCUGUGAGUCCACGGCAGGUUGCUGGCUUGGGGGCUGAGGCUCGGCGCCCAGGCCUCGGUGUGGAUUUGGGGGAGGGGAGUUCGCCGCUCCCUCGGUCCAUGUCAACUGGGGGGUCCUUAGCGGUCCUGGGGGAAGCGGCCAUGUCUUCCCCUUCCCGGUGGUUGCGGGGGGGGGAUGGGCGGCCAGGAGGUGGACAGAUGGAGGGGGGAUGAGAGGCCGAGAAAUGGACAGAUGGGCCCUGAGGUGGGGGUUGGGGGGCGAAGACCCGGCCCUUCCCCACCCACUCCACCCUAAUUCCCCCACCGGCCAGACAUCUGCAGACGGAGCCAGAGUUACCUCCAUCCUGAUGGCCAGGCUGGGGAACCUUUGGGGCUGCUGGUGGGAGGAUCUCCUUGAAACGGUGAUCUAGGACUCAAACCCCCAAAUCCUCUUGAGUUUCCACCUGCUGAACUCUGACCUCUGGCCUGGCUUUUGCCCUGGUUUUUUGGGGGUGUGGAGGGCAGGAUGCUGAAUGUGCUGCAGGGAUGUUAGGAUUUCUUGGGCCUGGGAAGUAAGUAGGUGGGGUGGUGGGGGGGUGCCUCAGGGCUGGGAGGAAUGUGUGUCCAAGACUGUGUGAGUGUGAAUCUGGGCCUGUCUACUGACUGUGCUACUGUGGUUCAGUAUUUUCUAUGCAUUUGGAAGUGUGUAAAUCACAGGACUGUUGUGUGAGCAUGUGUCUGUUAUGAGUGAACAUCUUGGCGUGUCUGCAAAGGUGGAUCUUUUUGUGCCUGUGUGCGUGUUCCAGUGUGGAUCAGCCUCGUAUCUGUAUGCUUGUGGUUUUGUGUGUGUGUGUGUGUGUGUGAGGUAUGUAUCUGUUAGCGUGGUGCUGUAUCAACUUUGCAACAUGGAGAUGUGUGAAGUAUGAGUGUGUCUAGGCAUUUAAGAGUGUGCACUUGUGUAUGUUUGCACAGGUGUGUGUGUGUUUGUUAGAUGUGUGUGCCCCUGUGUGCUGGUGAGUGUGCAAGGUAGAUCUGUUGUAAAUGCAUGUACCUGGUUGUCUGUUAGGGGGCACAUGAGUUUCUCUGUUGUAUCUGUGCAUUUGUGUGUGUGAACUUGCAUGGCAGAGUCAGUGUUGUACAUGUAUUGUUGCAUGCAGGUGUGUCAACCUUGAGGGUAUGUAUCCAUCUAUGUUGUGAGUCUGUUUGUGUUUUGGUGUUGGUCUCUGGGGGUUGUGUAUGUUCAGACAUGUAUGUGAAAGACACAUGUGUCUGUGCCCUGGCACAAGGCUGUCCCUACUCUUGGGUUCAGUGGGUUUGAGGCCCAUGUGGCAUGACCUCUGGUAUACUGGGGUCCCGCCUGGGGUCCCUGGACACAGUGUGUCCAUAUGCCAGGCCAAGUGCCCAUAGAGGGCGGAGGGCACACAGAUCAUGUUGCUAUGUUCAUAGAAAUCCAGAUGUAGAGACUUGGGUUGUGGGCUUGCGUGGGUUCUGACAUGGACACACAUGUUGGUGUGGGCAAUAGUAUCAUGGCAAGGAUGGGAAACUUUGGCCCUUCCCCAGCUCUUGGUACCGUUCAGGACUUUGGAGUUGAGGGGCUGGGAUGUAAAUUCUGGGUUCCUGUGAGACUAUGCAAAACCCGCCACAGGAGGACUGAGAGCGUGAUCACACCAGGGACUUCCUUGGCCGGGAUGGUCUCCAAGGCAAGAUCUGGUGCACAGAGAAGAGCCAGAACGAUGCUAACAAGGUGGUUCUGUUCCUUUGCAGGUGCUGGCCCAGGCCCUGACUCCCUGAAGAGAGAUGAAGAAACCGAGAAUCAGAGAGGUUCAGAUACUUGCUGGAGGUCACACAGCUAGUCUCACCUCCCACCCCUCCUGCCUUCCCACUGCACCAUGGCUCCAGGACCCUUCUCCUCGGCCCUCCUCUCGCCGCCGCCCGCUGCCCUGCCCUUUCUGCUGCUGCUCUGGGCGGGGGCAUCUCGUGGCCAGCCCUGCCCCGGCCGCUGCAUCUGCCAGAACGUGGCGCCCACACUGACAAUGCUGUGCGCCAAGACCGGCUUGCUCUUUGUGCCGCCCGCCAUCGACCGGCGCGUGGUGGAGCUGCGGCUCACCGACAACUUCAUCGCCGCCGUGCGCCGCCGAGACUUCGCCAACAUGACCAGCCUGGUGCACCUCACUCUCUCCCGGAACACCAUCGGCCAGGUGGCAGCUGGCGCCUUCGCCGACCUGCGUGCCCUCCGGGCCCUGCACCUGGACAGCAACCGCCUGGCGGAGGUGCGCGGCGACCAGCUCCGCGGCCUGGGCAACCUCCGCCACCUGAUCCUUGGAAACAACCAGAUCCGCCGGGUGGAGUCGGCGGCCUUUGACGCCUUCCUGUCCACCGUGGAGGACCUGGAUCUGUCCUACAACAACCUGGAGGCCCUGCCGUGGGAGGCGGUGGGCCAGAUGGUGAACCUAAACACCCUCACGCUGGACCACAACCUCAUCGACCACAUCGCGGAGGGGACCUUCGUGCAGCUUCACAAGCUGGUCCGUCUGGACAUGACCUCCAACCGCCUGCAUAAACUCCCGCCCGACGGGCUCUUCCUGAGGUCGCAGGGCACCGGGCCCAAGCCGCCCACCCCGCUGACCGUCAGCUUCGGCGGCAACCCCCUGCACUGCAACUGCGAGCUGCUCUGGCUGCGGCGGCUGACCCGCGAGGACGACUUAGAGACCUGCGCCACGCCCGAACACCUCACCGACCGCUACUUCUGGUCCAUCCCCGAGGAGGAGUUCCUGUGUGAGCCCCCGCUGAUCACACGGCAGGCGGGGGGCCGGGCCCUGGUGGUGGAAGGCCAGGCGGUGAGCCUGCGCUGCCGAGCGGUGGGUGACCCCGAGCCGGUGGUGCACUGGGUGGCACCUGAUGGGCGGCUGCUGGGGAACUCCAGCCGGACCCGGGUCCGGGGGGACGGGACGCUGGAUGUGACCAUCACCACCUUGAGGGACAGUGGCACCUUCACUUGUAUCGCCUCCAAUGCUGCUGGGGAAGCGACGGCGCCCGUGGAGGUGUGCGUGGUACCUCUGCCUCUGAUGGCACCCCCGCCGGCUGCCCCGCCGCCUCUCACCGAGCCCGGCUCCUCUGACAUCGCCACGCCGGGCAGACCAGGUGCCAACGAUUCUGCGGCUGAGCGUCGGCUCGUGGCAGCCGAGCUCACCUCGAACUCCGUGCUCAUCCGCUGGCCAGCCCAGAGGCCUGUGCCCGGAAUACGCAUGUACCAGGUUCAGUACAACAGUUCCGUUGAUGACUCCCUCGUCUACAGGUGGGUGCGGGUGCUGCAGUCCCAGGGCCUCCUCCCAAGCCCAGGGGGACCCUCCCUCCCACCUGCCCAUUCCCUUGGCCUUCUUGCUCAGCCAGGGUUCUAGAUGGCUGUGAGAGCUGUUCCCGCCCUCCUUUGCCCUGUCUCCUCUCUCUAUUUCUCACUGUCUCUGUUUUUCGUGCUUAUAGAAAAUAUUCGCUGAGCACCUACAUGAACCCGACCAGGGCUGGGCACUGGAGUCCUAACAGUGACUGAGCUCAGCAUGAACCCUGCCCUCAUGGGGCUCAUGGUCGAUAUCACUGCUCCCCACAACAAUCUGAUUGUGCACCUCUUCAGUUAAACAUUUUGGAGCAUGAAACACACACACACAUUUACAGUGACAUUUAUUUAUUUGUUUGUUUUGAGACUGAGCCUUACUCUAUUGCCCAGGCUGGAGUGCAGUGGCACGAACUCAGCUCACUGAAACCCUCCGCCUCCCGGGUUCAAGCGAAUCUCGUCCCUCAGCCUCCCAAGUAGCUGGGAUUACAGAUACCCACCAACACACCCAGCUAAGUUUUGUAUUUUUAGUAGAGACAGGAUUUUACCAUGUUGGGCAGGCUGGUCUUGAACUCCUGACCUCAAGUGAUCCGCCUGCCUUGGCCUCCUAAAUUGCUGGGAUUACAGGUGUGAGCCACCGUGCCUAGCCUACAGCGACAUUUAUAUUUAUAAAUUAUAUACCAGUACUACUGAACCAACACAUUGGGUACAUUACAGAAACAGAAAACAAAACGUAUGAGAAAAAUAUGUUAUUUCCACCCUCACUUGGGUUUGAAGCCAUUGCCCUGGUGGGGACAGACCAUACGGUGUCAACAGACAUUUUAAAAAAAGAGUUAUUUUCUCCCAUCGCCUCCUUAUUUCUCCUUUCACCUCUCUGUCUGUCUCUACCUUCUCUGCCCUCGUUAGGCACAGAGCCCCUGCUUUGUGCAAACUCCUGAGCUGGGUGCUGGGGACACAGGGAAACCACCCAGACCCUGUCCUCAGGGAGCUUAUAGCCCAGUAGGUCGUGGUCCAUAGUACACUAUGAGUUGCAGUCCUGGCCUUGCCAUGUCUCUCCAUCUCAGUAGUUUUUUUUUUUCUUUUUCUUUUUUUUUUUUGGCAGGGUCUUGCUCUGUCACCCCAGGCUGGAGUGCAGUGGUAUGAUCAUAGCUCACUGCAGCCUCAAACUUUUGGGCUCCAAGCAAUCCUCCUACCUCCUGAGAGUAGCUGGGACUAUAGGUGUGCACCACCACACUGGGCUAAUUUAAAAAAAUUUUUAGUAGAGAUGAGGUCUUGCUAUAUUGCCCAGACAGGUCUUGAACUCCUGGGCUGAAGUGAUCCUCCUGCCUUGGCCUCCCAAAGUGCUGGGAUUACAGGUGUGAGCCGCUGCACCUGGCCCAUCUUGGUAGUUUUUUAGUAUGGCUCUCUGCCACAGAAUUGUCACACAGUAGGCACUUGAUAAAUGGUAGUUUGCCACAUGGAUGUCUCUCCUUCUAGCUCUGCCUCCCUCAUGCACAUUGUAGAGCACCAGUUAAAUGCUUCAGUCAUCUGCUUGGCUUCACCUGGAGAUGCCAGCGGGGCUGGAGCUGUUUCCCUACCUGUGGAGAGCCCCAGCUCCUGGCUGUCAGAUCUUCACCGAGAAACCUGCCUCUUGGCCUCCAUCUCUGCCUUUCCAGUGUUUUCUUGGCCAUAGGUGUGGCACAUAGUAGGUGCUUUCCCAGUGUUGGUUGAAUGAAAAAAAUGCCUCUUGGCCGGGCGCGAUGGCUCAUGCCUAUAAUCCCAGCAUUUUGGGAGGCUGAGGCGGGCGGAUCACUUGAGGUCAGGAGUUCAAGACCAGCCUGGCCAACAUGGUGAAACCCUGUCUCUACGGAAAAUACAAAAAUUAGGCAGAUGUGGUGGCACGUGCCUGUAAUCCCAGCUACUCAGGAGGCUGAGGCAGGAGAAUCGCUUGAACCUGGGAGGCGGAGGUUGCAGUGAGCGGAGAUUGCGCCAUUGGGUGACAGAGCGAGACUCCCUCUGGAAAAAAAAAAAAAAAAAAAAAAAGCCUCCCUUUUCUUUUGUCUCUGUCUUCCUCAUUUCCCUCUCUUUUUGAUUCUGGUCCCAAACACUGAGUAGAUGCCUACUGUGUGCCCAUCUUGUGUUGGGCCCUGGGCCUACUGAGAUAGGUUAGAUCCUGGCCCAGCCUUACAAACAUGAGGACAAACAAAUGAACAAAACACAAACCUUCACAACGAACUUCCAAGCUUGAUCUUCCCAGCUCCGCUAUGAAGGCGUGAUGACCCCCUCUCCAUUUCAAAGACAGAAAAACUGAGGUUCAGUGGGGGAUGUCACUUGCCCAAGGUCACACAGAAAGUAGCAAAGCUGUCCUUUAUACACUGACACACAUUUGUUGGGCACCCACUGCUUGGAAGGGAGAUGGAUAAUAUAUUUCUGUAAAUAAUUCUGAGCUUCUGUGACUCUCCACUUCUCUGUCCCUCUCUUUCCUUUGCUCUGAGCCAUGGCCACCACAUGGUGGGGUGGGGGAGGUUCACAAGCCCCCAGACCCUGCAUGGAUGCAGAUGUUGAUGGCCCCCUGUCCCCAGCUGGGCAACAGACCCUGGGACUCUUCUCUUCCCUGUAGGGCCCCAGUUCCAGUUCUCCAACCCCCAUUGCAGAUUCCUAUGCUAUGGUGCCGCAGGGGUUAACUUCCUCACGCUGUCAUGGGCGGAGGUGGCAGCCAACCAGAAGCCUGCUUAGCUGCUUGCUUUAAUUCUGCAGCCAAUUAGAGACACUUGGGCUGAAGCUUUCUUAAGGAGCCAGCCUCUGUCCUUGAAAAGGGGUGGGGGAAGCCCCUAGCAACUGGCUAUUUAGGGGAAGGAGCAAGUGGAAUCCAGGGCUCUGGAGAGGAGAGAUGAAGAGAGGAGGAGGAAGGCUUAAAGCCAGGGCAGCCGAGGGUGGCUGGGGUGGGUGGCAGUGGUCUUUGAAAUGGCAGUCAGGGGUGGGUAGAGUGGAGUUGGAGAAGUGGGUGGACCUUUAUGAAGGGGCGGGGCCCUGAUUGGAAGUCUUUUGGUGGGAGGGUGGCUCUUGGUAGUGGGAGAACCUCCUGGAGGUGGGAUGACAGAGGUGGAGCUUCAGGGCCAGAAGGUGGCUCUGCUGGAGGGGAAGCGGAAGCAUCGGAGAGAUAAGCAGGCCUUCGGAGGUGGGGAUGUGGCCUGUCAGAGGGGGUGGAGCUUGUUCUGCAUGGUCCCACGAAGAGGAAGGGGCAGUCCUUGUCUCCCGGGACCCACCAAGAGUCUUUGCUGGAGAAGAGAGCUUGUGAGGUUGCAUCCUGGCCAUGCCAAUCAAUGUGGAACGGGCAGUCCAGGUUUAGCUGAGGCUGGACAUGGCCCACAGUGUGGAAACGAUGUGCUCAACAGAAGAGGGCCAAGGCCUAGCAGGAAUGGCCCUCCAGAGGGGUAGAUCUUAUAGAUGGGAGGAAUGCAAUGGGCUGGAUAGUGUGAGCCACAGCAAGGGUUACUGGCCAACACGAGGUGUGAUGCAAGCUAAUGAUGAUAUCAUUAAGUGCCAGGUCCUGGCUGUGUUAACUCAUUCAUUCCUCACACCAUCUCUAUGAUGUAGGAAUUAUUAUCAUCCCCAUUUGGGGAAAAUGAGACACAGGGAGGUUAAGAAACUUGGCGAAGUUCGCCGGGCGUGGUGGUUCAUGACUGUAAUCCCAGCACUUUGGGAGAUCGAGGCGGAUGGAUCACCUGAGGUCAGAAGUUUGAGACCAGCUUGGCCAACGUGGCGAAACCCCAUCUCUACUAAAAAUACAAAAAUUAGCCAGGUGUGGUGGUGGGUGCCUGUAAUCUCAGCUGUCCGGGAGGCUGAGGCAGGAGAAUCACUUGAACCCGGAAGGCAGAGAUUGCAGUGAGCCGAGAUCGCGUCAUUGUACUCCAGCCUGGGUGACACAGCGAGAGUCUGUCUCAAACAAAACAAAAUGAAACAAAAGAGAAACUUGCCUGAGGUCACAGAGCAAGCAAGUGGCAGAGGAGAGACUCAAACCCGGGCAAUCUGGCCCCCAGCCUUUGUCAUCUUAACCACUUCUCUACACUAGUCUUCAUUCGAGGGGAGGGGCCUACAGCAAGAAAGGAAUAUGGUGUGUGCUUGGCUACGUUUGACCCCUUUACGGAAGAAACUUACCUGGUAGCGUGAUUUGGUGACUUCUGGUGGCACAUGAACAUAUGAGGUGGUUGCCUUUAAUAUCUGGACAAGGAGCAGGGCCUGUAGUCUGGAUGUGGCCUAUACACAGUAGGGGAACCAUCCUUAGUGGGCCAUUGUGGGGUGUGCCUGGAAGCCACAUUUCAUUUGGUUGGGGAAUGGCCUGUAGCAAUGUCAGGGAACAUGUAGUUAAGGG